rnacentral:rRNA from 2 species
GUUACGGCGGUUAUGGCGGGAAGGAAACACCCGGUUACAUUCCGAACCCGGAAGUUAAGCUUCCCUGCGCCGAUGGUACUGCACUCGGGAGGGUGUGGGAGAGUAGGUCACCGCCGGACAAU